GACGAACGCUGGCGGCGUGCUUAACACAUGCAAGUCGAACGGUGAAGCUCCAGCUUGCUGGAGUGGAUCAGUGGCGAACGGGUGAGUAACACGUGAGCAACCUGCCCCUGACUCUGGAAUAAGCGCUGGAAACGGCGUCUAAUACUGGAUACGAGAAGGGUCCGCAUGGGCACUUUCUGGAAAGUUUUUCGGUUGGGGAUGGGCUCGCGGCCUAUCAGCUUGUUGGUGAGGUAAUGGCUCACCAAGGCGACGACGGGUAGCCGGCCUGAGAGGGCGACCGGCCACACUGGGACUGAGACACGGCCCAGACUCCUACGGGAGGCAGCAGUGGGGAAUAUUGCACAAUGGGCGAAAGCCUGAUGCAGCGACGCCGCGUGAGGGAUGACGGCCUUCGGGGUGUAAACCUCUUUCAGCAGGGAAGAAGCGAAAGUGACGGUACCUGCAGAAGAGGCACCGGCUAACUACG
rnacentral:rRNA from 1 species